AGUGAACGCUGGCGGUAGGCCUAACACAUGCAAGUCGAACGGCAGCACAGUAAGAGCUUGCUCUUACGGGUGGCGAGUGGCGGACGGGUGAGGAAUACAUCGGAAUCUACUUUUUCGGGGGGGAUAACGUAGGGGAACUUACGCUAAUACCGCAUACGACCUACGGGUGAAAGCAGGGGAUCUUCGGACCUUGCGCGAAUGAAUGAGCCGAUGGCGGAUUAGCUAGUUGGCGGGGUAAAGGCCCACCAAGGCGACGAUCCGUAGCUGGUCUGAGAGGAUGAUCAGCCACACUGGAACUGAGACACGGUCCAGACUCCUACGGGAGGCAGCAGUGGGGAAUAUUGGACAAUGGGCGCAAGCCUGAUCCAGCCAUACCGCGUGGGUGAAGAAGGCCUUCGGGUUGUAAAGCCCUUUUGUUGGGAAAGAAAAGCAGCAGGUUAAUACCCCGCUGUUCUGACGGUACCCAAAGAAUAAGCACCGGCUAACUUCGUG
rnacentral:rRNA from 1 species